AAUACGCCUCCCUCACCCUCACCCUCACCCACACCCACACCCCUCUAAAAUUUCCGAUCUACUUUCGCCAAAGUGCUUUUGCCAAAAUGCAAAGCACAUCAAUCUCAUUUUCUCCAUCAAUUUCAAAUCCUACCUCUCUUUCGCCUUCCCAUGUUAUGUAUCGAUAUGGUUCAGUUAAUUUUUUCAAAACACAUCCUAAACUUAAGUACUGUUCCAUUAACUUUUCUUCUUCAAAGUUGAAUGGAACAGGAUCAUGGGUUUCAGUUCCUUCUCGUGAACCGGAUGGAGCAUUAUCGGUUCGGGCCACGUCAGUGGUCGAAACCACCGGAGAGGCAACUAAACCAGUGGGGGAGACUUUGUAUCUUGGAUUGCUUUUCGCCCUUUGGUAUAUAUUUAAUAUAUACUUCAACAUUUAUAACAAGCAGGUGCUGAAAGCAUUCCAUUACCCAGUUACAAUGACACUUGUGCAACUUGUUGUUGGCACUGCCCUCAUUAUUUUCAUGUGGACGUUCAAUCUGUACAAACGGCCAAAAAUCAAUGGUGCACAGCUUGCUGCAAUUUUUCCAUUGGCAGUGGUGCAUACGCUGGGCAACCUUUUCACCAACAUGAGUCUUGGAAAAGUUUCUGUAUCAUUCACGCACACUAUUAAAGCUCUGGAGCCCUUCUUCUCAGUUGUCCUCUCUGCUAUGUUUUUAGGGGAGUUCCCUACAGUAUGGGUUAUUUCUUCCCUUGUACCAAUUGUUGGUGGAGUGGGACUGGCAUCUCUGACUGAAGUGUCAUUUAACUGGGCAGGCUUUUGGAGUGCAAUGGCCUCUAACUUAGCCAAUCAAUCCCGUAAUGUUCUCAGCAAAAAGAUUAUGGUUAAGAAGGAGGACUCAUUGGAUAAUAUAAAUCUCUACUCAAUAAUCACAAUCAUGUCAUUAAUCUUGGUGGCCCCGUUUGCCUUUUUCAUGGAAGGCAUUAAGUUCACCCCUGCAUACCUUGAAUCUGCUGGUUUGAAUGUGAACCAGAUAUACACAAGGACUCUCCUUGCAUCUCUUUGCUUUCAUGCUUAUCAGCAGAUUUCAUACAUGAUACUGGAGAAGGUAUCUCCUGUUACCCAUUCUGUGGGUAAUUGUGUGAAGCGAGUGGUGGUCAUUGUGUCUUCUGUUCUCUUUUUCAGCACGCCUGUCUCCCCAAUUAACGCUAUCGGCACUGGAGUGGCACUUGCUGGAGUUUUCUUGUAUUCAAGAGUGAAGGGGAUCAAACCUAAGCCAAAGACAGCUUGAAGGAAAAGCAGGGAAAUGGCUGAAGCUGCACUACUCAAAGUUGUCACAGAACGGGUUCUGACUAAAUUAAUCCAGCUAUCUGCAGACGAGACUUUGAUCAUUCGGAAGCUAUUCGGGAGGGAAAGGCUUUGCAUUGAUGUUUGUGGCACCUGUUCAGCCUUCGAGAGUUGUUUCCAGGUUGGUGGGCGAGACCUCGUGAUAGAUCCCGAGGAUAUCAUAGAGAUGUUUGGAAAUGCAGGGUAAGACUGCAUGCAAUGCACCCUUGUGGUUGGGCUCUUCCCUGGAUCCCGCGCAUUGCGGAAGCUUAGUGCAUCGGGCUGCCCCUCUUUAUGAGUGUUGUGUGGCUAUAACAGGUUCUCAUUAAGCCACUGAAGGGUUGAGAGGGAAGUAAAUGGAGGAAGUACUAUCCAUAAAGAAUACGGAGAUAGCAAAACAUCUAUCUCUUCCACCUGUUAAACUGCAUUGCAGUAUGCUCCCGGAGGAUGCAAUAAAGGCUGCUGUGAAAGAUUACAAGACAAAGCAGACAAAAUUGAGUGAUGAUGCAAAUGAAAUGGAGAAAGCAGCUGAUGCUUGAGAUACUUGUUGCAAGAAAUGAAGUGCUUCCGAGAAAUGAAAUUGAGGAGGAAGAACAAGAAUGCUUGUAUAUGUAACGUUCUUUCGGUUUUGUAACUGUAAAGUUGGCCAUUUGAUGCGUUUAUCUUGAAAUUUCUGCUGCUUG